ensembl:lncRNA
GUUUUGUACAUGCCCCAUAAGUGAUUUUCUUUAAUAAAUACACUGCUUUCCAAAAAUGCUUUUUAAAUAAUUGCACAAGCAUACAUACACCGUACACAAAUUUAUAUUAGAAAAUUUAAUAGAUAAAUGCACAGUUCAGAAUAGGAAACACUGUGAAACGAGUACAUUUUGUGGCCCACAUUCCUAAAAUAUCUCUAUUUUGCAAUUGUGAAAAUGGAAUCCCUCUCAAUACAGUAGCCGUCUUUUAUUCAUUAGGAAUACAGAUCUCAGUGUGAAAUGGCAAAUUUAAUAAAAACAAAAUCUGAAACAUUUAGCUGUUACAUGGAAACCAACUGUUUGAUAUCACUGUGAAUCUAGCCAUGAUCAAAGACCCACUACAGCUUUCUGUGGAACAUAGUUGACCCUGGAUAGUGUGUUCAUUUAACUGCUUUCCUUUCUUCAUUAUCUGAUUACAGACACUAUCAGUUUAAAGAUUUCAUAUCCUUUGGCAUUAAUUGUACAACCUAGAUGCCAGGGGUUCUGAGUGGAAGGAAGGAAAUAUUUCUGUCAUUCAAUGAUUACUUAAUAUUAAUUCAGAAUAAGCCCAUCAUCUCUCGCUCCUUGUAAAUGUGUUUAGAGGAAAGAUGUUGAGUGUUGGAACUUAAGCAAGAGGAGGUAUUUCUAUGUAUGCUUACACUAGAGGAAGACUGUUACUAUUUUCUCUCCCAAGGAUGGAUACCUUAGUACUUUGUGGAUGUGUCUCUGCUUCUACACAGACAGGUAGGGUCCAUGAGAAAGCCACUUGGGCCUGAAGGCUUGGGAAGAGACCUGUUGCUUAUGAUAUUCUUCAAUGUUAGUGUGCUUGGUGACAGCUUCAGGGGACAUGUCCCCAUGACACUCUAUGCCAAUGCACAGAGUCCCAAGGAUUCUCCCUGCUCUUCCCACACGCUGCUGGUAGGACAUCUCCUCAGGAAGAUUGCCCUUGCCAAGUUUUUCCAUUUAUCUGCCAUGGGAUGGUUAGGGUAUGCACACGGCCCACACAGGCUACAUUCUAAUCACUACAUUCAGACUUUUCUUGAUAGUGAAUAUGAAAUAUACAGAGAGGAACUUUCAAAAGUUACAUUUCAUUGGUGUUUUAGAAUAAUGAGAAAGUGUCAAUUUUCAAGCCAUUUCCCUGAUGUUACACUGGUCUAUCUGACAAGUUCUGAAUGCAUGGGCACCAGGGGAAGAAAACUAGAGGGAUCAGAAGAGUAAGAUCUUUUUCAAACAUUGCCAGUGGGAGCUUUAAGUGCAUUCCCAAGAUCAUAUAAAUAGAGUUUAACCAAAAGCAUAAAAGUGGGUGGUAUAAAAGAACAAUAUCAAGAAUAAAAACAUGAGAAUUUUUGAAAAGCUAUACCAUUCCAUUUCAGUAAUUAACAGUUCUUUCAUUCAAAAAAAAAAAGAAUUGACAUGUAAAGCCUCACAUUUUACAAUAUACAGGUUCAUUAGUUCCUUUAAAAAGCAAACAAACAAAAACACAUCAACACAUGCAACCAACCUCAGAAUGCAUUUCAGGUGGUCAGUCCACAUCUAUGUGAUCUUUAUGUUAUUGUGGGUCUCCAGUGGCCUGAAUAGAAGCGUGUUUCAUUUCUACAAUAAUCAUUGUUUCACAAAAAACAAGGCAACCUUCUCAUUCAAGCAUGAAAGUAAGUUUUCACUUGCUUGUAAUUAAUUAGUAAAUCGGUAAACACAAAUACCAUAAAAUAAAAAAAAAAAGGAACAGGAAAGAACUCGUGUAGCUCUCAUUGGUCCUACAGCAGAAGGAGAAAUUUUAAC